rnacentral:rRNA from 1 species
UACGUAGGGUGCAAGCGUUGUCCGGAAUUAUUGGGCGUAAAGAGCUCGUAGGCGGCUCGUUGCGUCGGCUGUGAAAACCCGCAGCUCAACUGUGGGCUUGCAGCUGAUACGGGCGGGCUGGGAUUCGGUAGGGGAGACUGGAAUUCCUGGUGUAGCGGUGAAAUGCGCAGAUAUCAGGAGGAACACCGGUGGCGAAGGCGGGUCUCUGGGCCUGUACUGACGCUGAGGAGCGAAAGCGUGGGGAGCGAACAGG